rnacentral:rRNA from 1 species
GAUGAACGCUAGCGGCAGGCCUAACACAUGCAAGUCGAGGGGUAGUUACUUUCGGGUAAUGAGACCGGCGCACGGGUGCGUAACGCGUAUGCAAUCUACCUUUUACAGGGGAAUAGCCCAGAGAAAUUUGGAUUAAUGCCCCAUAGUAUGUAUGAAUCGCAUGGUUUAUACAUUAAAGUUCCAACGGUAAAAGAUGAGCAUGCGUCCCAUUAGUUAGUUGGUAAGGUAACGGCUUACCAAGACGAUGAUGGGUAGGGGUCCUGAGAGGGAGAUCCCCCACACUGGUACUGAGACACGGACCAGACUCCUACGGGAGGCAGCAGUGAGGAAUAUUGGACAAUGGGCGCAAGCCUGAUCCAGCCAUGCCGCGUGCAGGAAGAAGCAUCUAUGGUGUGUAAAACUGCUUUUGUACAGGAAGAAACACUCCCUCGUGAGGGAGCUUGACGGUACUGUAAGAAUAAGGAUCGGCUAACUCCGUG